UUCUUAAUAUUAGCCACUGCAUGCGUACCACGUUCCCGCAUGGUUUUAGCAAGUGGCAGUCACUGCAUCUAAAUUUUUGGAAACACGAGACGGCUUGGCUUCCUGUGGCCAUCCGGGACACCGAAGAGAGAAAUUUGUGGCUAGGAUAAAUCAAGAAAAGAGCAGAACUGAAACUCCACACCCUACCACCGUUAAACGUAAAGUGCCUUUUGGCGCGUCUGAGCGAAUUCUACCUAAACAUUGCAAAGAACCGACCCAAGAAAAGGCCAGGUGUUCCUCCCGUUGCCUUCCACGUUCCAGACAUUCAAAUUUCUUUGAUUUCCAAGCUUUCCUUUUCAAUAUUCACUGCUGCCUAUUGGCAUGUCAACAUGUGCCAACAGCACUUGUAGCUUGUGUAUGAGCCCCAAGUGGGAACUGCACUAUGUGUGACAACAAUAAAUUCAUUCAUAAUUUUGUUCUAAUAGAC